rnacentral:rRNA from 1 species
UGCAGUUGAGCGAGAAUUUAAUUAUUGCUUGCAAUAAUUAAAGGAAAGCGGCGAACGGGUGAGUAAUAUGUUGAUACUUGCCCCCAAGUCAGGGAUAGCUCAUCGAAAGAUGAAUUAAUACCGGAUAGUCUCUUCGGAGUAAAAAUUUAUUGCUUGGGGAGAGGUCUGCAUUCUAUCAGCUAGUUGGUGAGGUAAUGGCUCACCAAGGCUAUGACGGAUAACUGGUCUGAGAGGAUGAUCAGUCACAAUGGAACUGAGACACGGUCCAUACUCCUACGGGAGGCAGCAGUGAGGAAUCUUCCACAAUGGGCGAAAGCCUGAUGGAGCGACACCGCGUGAAGGAUGAAGGUCUAACGAUUGUAAACUUCUUUUCUGGAGGAGCAUAAUGAGAGUACUUCAGGAAUAAGGGACGGCUAAUUACGUGCCAGCAGCCGCGGUAAUACGUAAGUCCCGAGCAUUACCCGGAAUUACUGGGUGUAAAGGGUUCGCAGGCUGAAUGAUAAGUCAGGUAUGAAAGACCGGAGCUUAACUCCGUGUUUGUGCUUGAAACUAUCUUUCUAGAAUUAGGGAGAGGUAAGCGGAAUUCUAAGUGUAGGGGUGCAAUCCGUAGAUACUUAGAAGAACACCAAAAGCGAAGGCAGCUUACUGGAACUAAAUUGACGCUAAUGAACGAAAGCGUGGGGAGCGAAAAGGAUUAGAUACCCUUGUAGUCCACGCCCUAAACGAUGAUAACUAAGUGUUGCAUUU